AUUGAACGCUGGCGGCAGGCCUAACACAUGCAAGUCGAGCGGAUGAAGGGAGCUUGCUCCUGGAUUCAGCGGCGGACGGGUGAGUAAUGCCUAGGAAUCUGCCUGGUAGUGGGGGAUAACGUCCGGAAACGGGCGCUAAUACCGCAUACGUCCUGAGGGAGAAAGUGGGGGAUCUUCGGACCUCACGCUAUCAGAUGAGCCUAGGUCGGAUUAGCUAGUUGGUGGGGUAAAGGCCUACCAAGGCGACGAUCCGUAACUGGUCUGAGAGGAUGAUCAGUCACACUGGAACUGGGACACGGUCCAGACUCCUACGGGAGGCAGCAGUGGGGAAUAUUGGACAAUGGGCGAGAGCCUGAUCCAGCCAUGCCGCGUGUGUGAAGAAGGUCUUCGGAUUGUAAAGCACUUUAAGUUGGGAGGAAGGGCAGUAAGUUAAUACCUUGCUGUUUUGACGUUACCAGCAGAAUAAGCACCGGCUAACUACGUG
rnacentral:rRNA from 1 species